GCUGAUCAUCACUUUCACCAUUUUAGCGAUUUCUGGACGUUUUAUUGCCAUCACGUAAAAACUGGUCGUGCUCAUCGAAUAACCGACGUAUUACCACGAGAGUUGCCCAACCAAACGUCGUAUCCUUGAUCGGCUAAUAUGAAACCUGCAAUAAGGAUGUUGUUCGCAUAUAAAAAUGGGAAUAAUUUGCACACAAUAAGAGAAUAGAUAUGGAGAACAGUGAAAUUUUGUAUAUGAAAUUUGGCAAAUACGAUCCAGUCGAUGGAGCUGGACAAAAGACCGUGUUGCAGUAACACGGACGGAGAGUUUUUCCUACCUGGAAU